AGUUUGAUCCUGGCUCAGAUUGAACGCUGGCGGCAGGCCUAACACAUGCAAGUCGAGCGGUAGAGAGAAGCUUGCUUCUCUUGAGAGCGGCGGACGGGUGAGUAAUGCCUAGGAAUCUGCCUGGUAGUGGGGGAUAACGUUCGGAAACGGACGCUAAUACCGCAUACGUCCUACGGGAGAAAGCAGGGGACCUUCGGGCCUUGCGCUAUCAGAUGAGCCUAGGUCGGAUUAGCUAGUUGGUGAGGUAAUGGCUCACCAAGGCGACGAUCCGUAACUGGUCUGAGAGGAUGAUCAGUCACACUGGAACUGAGACACGGUCCAGACUCCUACGGGAGGCAGCAGUGGGGAAUAUUGGACAAUGGCGAAAGCCUGAUCCAGCCAUGCCGCGUGUGUGAAGAAGGUCUUCGGAUUGUAAAGCACUUUAAGUUGGGAGGAAGGGUUGUAGAUUAAUACUCUGCAAUUUUGACGUUACCGACAGAAUAAGCACCGGCUAACUCUGUGCCAGCAGCCGCGGUAAUACAGAGGGUGCAAGCGUUAAUCGGAAUUACUGGGCGUAAAGCGCGCGUAGGUGGUUUGUUAAGUUGGAUGUGAAAUCCCCGGGCUCAACCUGGGAACUGCAUUCAAAACUGACUGACUAGAGUAUGGUAGAGGGUGGUGGAAUUUCCUGUGUAGCGGUGAAAUGCGUAGAUAUAGGAAGGAACACCAGUGGCGAAGGCGACCACCUGGACUAAUACUGACACUGAGGUGCGAAAGCGUGGGGAGCAAACAGGAUUAGAUACCCUGGUAGUCCACGCCGUAAACGAUGUCAACUAGCCGUUGGAAGCCUUGAGCUUUUAGUGGCGCAGCUAACGCAUUAAGUUGACCGCCUGGGGAGUACGGCCGCAAGGUUAAAACUCAAAUGAAUUGACGGGGGCCCGCACAAGCGGUGGAGCAUGUGGUUUAAUUCGAAGCAACGCGAAGAACCUUACCAGGCCUUGACAUCCAAUGAACUUUCUAGAGAUAGAUUGGUGCCUUCGGGAACAUUGAGACAGGUGCUGCAUGGCUGUCGUCAGCUCGUG
rnacentral:rRNA from 1 species